UUACCUCCAACUCGAAUUCAACACAAGGAAUCCAUUUGUUGCGGAGAAGGUAGUCAACUUCCUUAGCCAAUUCGACGUCAGUAAGGUCAGGGAGGUAAGAUAGAGUCUCAAACUUCUUCUUUCCGAUUGGUGGCCACACCUAUAAUUCCCAAUUCCCAAUUAUUCUUAAGUAUUGUUCAGUUGCACUAA
rnacentral:sRNA from 1 species